rnacentral:rRNA from 1 species
UGCAGAAUCCCGUGAACCAUCGAGUCUUUGAACGCAAGUUGCGCCCGAAGCCAUUAGGCCGAGGGCACGCCUGCCUGGGUGUCACACAUCGUUACCCAAACGCAAACCAUUGCCUCGGGUGUAUGCUGACCUCCCGCGAGCACCGUUUCGUGGUUGGUUGAAAAUCGGGUCCGUGGCCGAGUCCGCCGCGACAAAAUGGUGGAUGAGUCAGUCACACACGACGCUCGAGACCAGUCGCGCGUGGCUCCGUCGUUCCCGGACUCCUCGACCCUGUGCGUGCGUCCACCCGACGCAGGCUAUCAACGAGACCUCAGGUCAGGCGGGGCUACCCGCUGAGUUUAA